rnacentral:lncRNA from 1 species
CUCCCAUAGUCGAUGCAUGAUUCCACUGGUUAUCACAUGUGUUCUUGACUCGAACCCAUUUCCCUGUUGUUGGAGUUUGCAUUAUAGUGUUCAUUUAGAGUCUCUCCUCAGUCUUAUCUCCUCCAACCCUGUAGUCAAGCAGUUGCUUUUCAGCAGUGUUUUUACUCCCACAGUUUAUCCUCUGCUUGUGGGUAGUAUUUUUUUUUUUUUUUUUUAGAUCCCUGCAGAUUGUUCAGGGAUUGCAUUGAUACUAAUGGAGAAGUCCAUCACCUUCGAUUGUACCACAAUGUAUCAGUCUCUGUGUACAGUGUUUUCCUGGUUCUGCUCCUCUCGCUCUGCAUUACUUCCUGGAGGUUGUUCCAGUCUCCAUGGAACUUCUCCACUUUAUUAUUCCUUUUAGCACAAUAGUAUUCCAUCACCAACAUAUACCACAAUUUGUUCAGCCAUUCCCCAAUUGAAGGGCAUCCCCUCAUUUUCCAAUUUUUGGCCACCACAAAGAGCGCAGCUAUGAAUAUUUUUGUACAAGUCUUUUUGUCCAUUAUCUCUUUGGGGUACAAGCCCAGCAGUGCUAUGGCUGGGUCAAAGGGCAGACAGUCUUUUAUCGCCCUUUGGACAUAGUUCCAAAUUGCCCUCCAGAAUGGUUGGAUCAAUUCACAACUCCACCAGCAAUGAAUCAAUGUCCCCACUUUGCCACAUCCCCUCCAGCAUUCAUUACUUUGCAUAGCUGUCAUGUUAGCCAAUCUGCUAGGUGUGAGAUGAUACCUCAGAGUUGGUUUGAUUUGCAUCUCUUCUGAUUAUAAGAGAUGUAGAGCACUUUUUCAUGUGCUUAUUAAUAGUUUUGAUUUCUUUGGCUGAGAAUUGCCUGUUCAUGUCCCUUGCCCAUUUGUCAAUUGGAGAAUGGCUUGAUUUUUUGUACAAUUGAUUUAGUUCUUUAUAAAUUUUAGUAAUUAAACCCUUGUCAGAGGUUUUUAUGAAGAUUGUUUCCCAAUUUGUUGCUACCCUUCUGAUUUUGGUUACAUUGGUUUUGUUUGUACAAAAACUUUUUAAUUUGAUGUAAUCCAGAUUAUUUAUUUUGCAUUUUGUAAUUCUUUCUAAUUCUUGCUUGGUUUUGAAGUAUUUCCCUUCCCAAAGGUCUGACAUGUAUACUAUUCUGUGUUCGCCUAAUUUUCUUAUAGUUUCCUUCUUUAUGUUCAAGUCAUUCAUCCAUUUUGAAUUUA